UACAGAGGGUGCAAGCGUUGUCCGGAAUCACUGGGCGUAAAGGGCGCGUAGGCGGCCUGAUCAGUCGGGGGUGAAAUUCUGCGGCUUAACCGCAGGACGGCCUUCGAGACUGUCGGGCUUGAGCACGGUAGAGGCUGGUGGAAUUCCCGGUGUAGCGGUGGAAUGCGUAGAGAUCGGGAAGAACAUCGGUGGCGAAGGCGGCCAGCUGGGCCGUUGCUGACGCUGAGGCGCGAAAGCCAGGGGAGCAAACGGG
rnacentral:rRNA from 1 species